rnacentral:rRNA from 1 species
GACGAACGCUGGCGGCGUGCUUAACACAUGCAAGUCGAACGGAAAGGCCCUGCUUUUGUGGGGUGCUCGAGUGGCGAACGGGUGAGUAACACGUGAGUAACCUGCCCCUGACUUUGGGAUAACUUCAGGAAACUGGGGCUAAUACCGGAUAGGAGCUCCUGCUGCAUGGUGGGGGUUGGAAAGUUUCGGCGGUUGGGGAUGGACUCGCGGCUUAUCAGCUUGUUGGUGGGGUAGUGGCUUACCAAGGCUUUGACGGGUAGCCGGCCUGAGAGGGUGACCGGCCACAUUGGGACUGAGAUACGGCCCAGACUCCUACGGGAGGCAGCAGUGGGGAAUAUUGCACAAUGGGCGGAAGCCUGAUGCAGCAACGCCGCGUGCGGGAUGACGGCCUUCGGGUUGUGAACCGCUUUCGCCUGUGACGAAGCGUGAGUGACGGUAAUGGGUAAAGAAGCACCGGCUAACUACGUG